AUCCCAAGAUGAGGACAUGCAGCUACGUACUCCUCCACUCGUUCCCAUGCUUCCGGAAUAGACUCAUCCCUUGUUUGCUGGAAACUUGAAAUCCUUCCACGAAGGGC
rnacentral:snoRNA from 1 species